rnacentral:rRNA from 1 species
UACGUAGGUGGCAAGCGUUGUCCGGAAUUACUGGGCGUAAAGCGUGCGCAGGCGGUUGGCAAAGUCAGCUGUGAAAGCCCCGGGCUUAACCUGGGAAUGGCGGUUGAAACUAGUCGACUCGAAUCUGGCAGAGGGGGGUGGAAUUCCGACGGUGUAGCAGGUGAAAUGCGUAGAGAGUGAUGGAGGAAGCACCGAUGGCGAAGGGCAGCCCCCUGGGCUGA